rnacentral:rRNA from 1 species
UACGGGGGGGGCAAGCGUUGUUCGGAAUUACUGGGCGUAAAGGGCUCGUAGGCGGCCAACUAAGUCAGACGUGAAAUCCCUCGGCUUAACCGGGGAACUGCAUCUGAUACUGGCGACCUUGAGUCCGGGAGAGGUGAGUGGAACUGCGAGUGUAGAGGUGAAAUUCGUAGAUAUUCGCAAGAACACCAGUGGCGAAGGCGGCUCACUGGCCCGGUACUGACGCUGAGGUGCGAAAGCGUGGGGAGCAAACAGG